rnacentral:rRNA from 1 species
CCUACGGGCGGCAGCAGUGAGGAAUAUUGGUCAAUGGACGAGAGUCUGAACCAGCCAAGCAGCGUGAAGGAUGACUGCCCUAUGGGUUGUAAACUUCUUUUAUAAAGGAAUAAAACGAGGCACGUGUGCCUUUUUGCAUGUACUUUAUGAAUAAGGAUCGGCUAACUCCGUGCCAGCAGCCGCGGUAAUACGGAGGAUCCGAGCGUUAUCCGGAUUUAUUGGGUUUAAAGGGAGCGUAGGUGGGUUGUUAAGUCAGUUGUGAAAGUUUGCGGCUCAACCGUAAAAUUGCAAUUGAUACUGGCAGUCUAGAGUACAGUUGAGGUAGGCGGAAUUCGUGGUGUAGCGGUGAAAUGCUUAGAUAUCACGCAGAACCCCGAUUGCGAAGGCAGCUUACUAAACUGUGACUGACAUUGAUGCUCGAAAGUGUGGGUAUCAAACAGGAUUAGAUACCCUAGUAGUC